CUGCUGCUGCUGCUGCUGCUGCUGCUGUUGCUGCUGCUGCUGCUGCACUUGCUGCUGCAGAAGCAGCAGCAGCAGGAGUUGUAGUAGCAGGAGCGGCGGCGGCGGCAGCAACUCGCUGCUGCUGCUGCUGCUGCUGCUGCUGCAGGAGAAGUAGUAGUAGUAGUUGCUGCUGCUGCAGCAGCUGAAGCUGCUGCUACUCCAGCUGCAGCAGCAGCAGCAGCAGCAGCAGCAGCAGCAGCAGCAGCAGCAGCAGCAGCAGCAGCUUGCUGCAGCAAACGUUU
rnacentral:sRNA from 1 species